rnacentral:rRNA from 1 species
GACGAACGCUGGCGGCGUGCUUAACACAUGCAAGUCACGGGGGUCCCGCAAGGGAUAACCGGCGAACGGGUGCGUAACACGUGAGCAACCUGCCGUACUCAGGGGGAUAGCCGGCCCAACGGCCGGGUAAUACCGCAUACGAUUCUUCGGGGGAGUCCCCGGGGAAGGAAACCUCUGGGGGAGUACGAGGGGCUCGCGGCCUAUCAGCUAGUUGGUGCGGUAACGGCGCACCAAGGCGACGACGGGUAGCUGGUCUGAGAGGAUGGCCAGCCACAUUGGGACUGAGAGACGGCCCAGACUCCUACGGGAGGCAGCAGUGGGGAAUCUUGCGCAAUGGCCGAAAGGCUGACGCAGCGACGCCGCGUGGGGGAUGAAGCAUUUCGGUGUGUAAACCCCUGUUGCCCGGGACGAACAGCGCUUUUCGAGGCGCCUGACGGUACCGGGUGAGGAAGCACCGGCUAACUCCGUGCCAGCAGCCGCUGUAAC